rnacentral:misc_RNA from 1 species
AACGCACAUUGCGCCCGCCGGUACUCCGGCGGGCAUGCCUGUCCGAGCGUCAUUGACAACCCUCAGGCCCUGGUGCCUGGUGUUGGGGCACUACAGCAUGCUGUAGGCCCUGAAAUCCAGUGGCGGGACCGCUGUAAACCCGGGCGUAGUAACUUUACGUCGCCUAGGGUGUUCCGGCGGGCCCCAGCCGUUAAACCCACCAUAUUAUCAUAUUUGGCCUCGGAUCAGGUAGGAUUACCCGCUGAACUUAA